AUGCUCCAUGGGUACGCUAUAGAAGGAUCCCUUGUUCAAAUGAUUGAUCUCUGUGAGCUGAUGGCAAGAGAUGGAGUUGUACCCGACCUCCGUUGUUUCAACAUACUGAUUAAUGCAUAUGCUAAGUAUGGCAGGAUGGAUGUGGCCAUGCUUUUCUUUGAAGACAUGUUGAAGCAGGGUGUGAAGCCUAAUGAAUUCACUUAUUUAACUGUGAUAUCUGCAUUUUGCAAGAUGGGCAGGAUGGAUGAUGCGAUGGAAAAGUUCAGUGAGAUGAUUGAUAUGGGAGUACCACUUGAGACAGAAGUUUACAUGUGCAUGGUUGAGGGUUAUUUUAAUCAUGGUGAUUCCAUGAAAGCCGAGGAAUUUAUUACCAAGAUGAAGAACAGGGAUAUUCAUCAUAAGCCAUGGAAAGGUAAUCGAUGA
rnacentral:rRNA from 1 species